GAUGAACGCUGGCGGCGUGCCUAACACAUUCAAGUCGAACGGAGAUUUCUUAAUUAAUCCUUCGGGAAGCGUUAAGGGAUUUUAGUGGCGGACGGGUGAGUAACGCGUGAGGAACCUGCCCCUUUGAGAGGGAUAACAACCGGAAACAGUUGCUAAUACCUCAUGAUAUAUACCGAUCGCAUGUUUGGUAUAUCAAAGAUUUUAUCGCAAAGGGAUGGCCUCGCGUCCGAUUAGAUAGUUGGCGGUGCAACGGACCACCAAGUCAACGAUCGGUAGCCGGACUGAGAGGUUGAACGGCCACAUUGGAACUGAGAUACGGUCCAGACUCCUACGGGAGGCAGCAGUGGGGAAUAUUGGGCAAUGGGCGCAAGCCUGACCCAGCGACGCCGCGUGAGGGAAGAAGGUCUUCGGAUUGUAAACCUCUGUUGUAAGGGACGAAACAAAUGACGGUACCUUACGAGGAAGCCACGGCUAACUACGUGCCAGCCGCCGCUGUAAUAC
rnacentral:rRNA from 1 species